rnacentral:rRNA from 1 species
GACGAACGCUGGCGGCGUGCCUAAUACAUGCAAGUAGAACGCUGAUGGAGGAGCUUGCUCUUCUGGAUGAGUUGCGAACGGGUGGGUAACGCGUAGGUAACCUGCCUGGUAGCGGGGGAUAACUAUUGGAAACGAUAGCUAAUACCGCAUAGCAGUAGAUGUUGCAUGACAUUUGCUUAAAAGGUGCAAUUGCAUCACUACCAGAUGGACCUGCGUUGUAUUAGCUAGUUGGUGGGGUAACGGCUCACCAAGGCGACGAUACAUAGCCGACCUGAGAGGGUGAUCGGCCACACUGGGACUGAGACACGGCCCAGACUCCUACGGGAGGCAGCAGUAGGGAAUCUUCGGCAAUGGACGGAAGUCUGACCGAGCAACGCCGCGUGAGUGAAGAAGGUUUUCGGAUCGUAAAGCUCUGUUGUAAGAGAAGAACGAGUGUGAGAGUGGAAAGUUCACACUGUGACGGUAUCUUACCAGAAAGAGACGGCUAACUACGUG